ensembl:lncRNA
GAGAGAGAGAGAGAAUAUUAUGUGAAUAAAUUAUAUAUAAAAAUUUUAAACAACUGCUACAAUACUCGAGAAAGCCAUCAUUUUUACUUUCAUCAAUAUAAAAUAAUAUCUAUAAGACUGAAUGAGUAAUUGAUUCCGGGAGAAACAGCGCGUGCCACUAUUGGAUGUGACGUCACAGGUCAGGGCGACGGCUUUAAGGCUUUUGCUUGUUCGUAAAUGUUUGUUUUCAAAGUUUUAGAAUGUUUAUUUUCGAACGUUUAGGAGGGUAUAUAAAGCGAGACGGAGCCAUAGCACUUCAGUUCUAAAUCUCUGUCUCUCUGGACUACACGUGCGAUUUUCACUCUCUGACCGUUUUCUACACGGCGAUCUGCAAUCAACUCCUGAACCCAGUCUCCGCUACGAUCAUCCCGGCAGCACUUGCGGCGUCGCAGCGAUGAUCUUUAGGAGAAAAGAGUUGCCGCAGCUCCUGGAGGAUGAGCCUGAGACUGGAGGGGGCGGACUGUCUGACAGCAACGGAACAUGGACGGAAGAAACUCCGUCUGACCUGCUGCUUGCCAGUGAGCUCCAUUACAACACCGUAGAGGUUAGUGACAAUGAGGAGUCCUACAGUCCUGAUCAGGUAGGUAUCAAUUGUUUUGCUGUGGAGGGUGUCCACCAGGGGAGGAGACAGAGGGAGCAGAUGAGUGAGGACAACACCGAAGAGGCCCCUCCUAGAAGAAGACAGCGUUUGGAGCAAGACGACGAUAUCUAUGAGCUGUAGAAGCUCCAUCCAGCAGUGAGCAUUUCUGGUGGAUGGGUGUUGAAGAGGACAACGAUGAAGAGGACCCUCCUAGAAGUAGACAACAUGAGGAGCAAGAAGACACUGAAAAUGAUUUGGAAAUUGAUUUGAUUUUUCACUUCUUGUCGUUAGUAGAAUUACAUUAGUUUUCUAGUUACACUUAACUAGUAGUAUAGUACUAGCUAAGCUACCAUGAGGUAAGCUCCAGCUCCAGUCUUAGGUCAUCUCCAGUCAUCUCCGGUCUCAAUCCGGUUUCCUCCCCCAGUCCAAAGACAUGCAUGGUAGGCUGAUUGGCAUGUCCAAAGUGUCCGUAGUGUAUGAAUGGGUGUGUGAUUGUGUAUUUUAUUGUGCCUGCGAUGGAUUGGCACCCUGUCCAGGGUGUACCCCGCCUUGUGCCCCAUGCUCCCUGGGAUAGGCUCCAGGUUUAGAAGAUGGAUGGGUGGAUGGAUAUAUUAAAUGUGUAGGCUAGACAUGUUAGUUCUAAAAUA